rnacentral:rRNA from 1 species
UAUAUAAUUUAUUAUUUAUGUAUAUUUUUUAAAUAAAUAUUUAAUUUAUUAUUAAUUAGAAAAAUUUAUUAUUAUUAUAGUUUAUUAGUAAAGUGAUUGAAUUAAUUAAUAUUUUAAAAAGAAGAAUUAAUUUUUUGUACCUUGUGUAUCAGGGUUGAUUAAUUAAGAGUUAAUUAUUUAAUUUUCUCGAAUUGGAAAGAUCUAAUUUAAUAUUUAUUUAAUUGUUAUAAAUUUUUAUAAUUUUAAAUUUGAAAUGAAAUGUUAUUCGUUUUUUAAUUUAUCUAGUUUUUUACGAAAAAAAUUUAAUUUUAUAAUUAUUUAUUUAUUUAAUAUUUUUUUUCAAAUAAAUUUUAAUUUUAAAGUAUUAAAGGGAUUAGCUUUUAAUAUAAUUUUUAAAAAUUGAUUAUAAAUUUAAUUUUUGUUUUAUUUGUAUUGUAAAUCAGGUUAUAAUUUAAUAGUUAAGAUUAUUACUUUAUUAUUUUUAUUGGUUUUAAAUUUUCUAUUAAAAAGAAAAUUUUAAUAUGAAUGAUUUUGUUAUAAUGAUUAAAUUAGUAAAUAUUUAUUUAUUUAUAUAAAUUUAUAUAAAUUUAUUAAAAGGAAUUCGGCAAAAUUAAUUUUCGCCUGUUUAAUAAAAACAUGUCCUUUUGAUAAUAAUUUAAGGUCUAAUCUGCUCAAUGAGUAAUUAAAUUGCCGCAGUAUUUUAACUGUGCAAAGGUAGCAUAAUAAUUAGUUUUUUAAAUGGGAUCUAGAAUGAAUGAUUGGACGAGAAAUUGACUGUCUCUUAAUAAUUUUUAUUAAAUUUAACUUUUAAGUAAAAAGGCUUAACUAGAUUUAAAAGACGAGAAGACCCUAUAGAGUUUAAUUGUUUUUUUAAAUAAAAAUUUUUGGAAUUUUUGGAUUUGUUAAAACAAUUUUAUUGGGGCGAUUGAAAGAUUAAUUUAACUCUUUUUAUUUUAAAUCAGUGAUUUAUGAUUAAUAAUUCUAUUUUUAUAAGAUAAAUUUAAAUUACCUUAGGGAUAACAGCGUAAUUUUAUUUUAUAGUUCAUAUUGAAAUUAAAGUUUGCGACCUCGAUGUUGGAUUAAAAUUUAUUUUGGGUGUAGAAGCUUAAAAUUUAAGUCUGUUCGACUUUUAAAAUUUUACAUGAUCUGAGUUUAAACCGGUGUGAGCCAGGUUGGUUUCUAUCUUUAAUUAAUUAAAAUGAUUUAGUACGAAAGGACCAGUUAUUUAAUAUUAUAUUUUGAAUUGAAUAUUAUU